rnacentral:misc_RNA from 1 species
GAUGAAGAACGCAGCGAAAUGCGAUAAGUAGUGUGAACUGCAGAAUUCAGUGAAUCAUCGAAUCUUUGAACGCACAUUGCGCCCCUUGGUAUUCCAUGGGGCAUGCCUGUUCGAGCGUCAUUUGUACCCUCAAGCUUUGCUUGGUGUUGGGUGUUUGUCCCGCGUUGCGCGUGGACUCGCCUUAAAGCGAUUGGCAGCCGGCAUAUUGGCCUUGGAGCGCAGCACAUUUUGCGCUUCUAGUCAUGAAUGUUGGCGUCCAUUAAGCCUAUACAUUUGCUCUUGACCUCGGAUCAGGUAGGGAUACCCGCUGAACUUAAGCAUAUCAAUAAGCGGAGGA